rnacentral:misc_RNA from 1 species
UUCUCUCGCCAGUAUUACCAGCACAACGCAACCUACAAUCUCAAGCUCCCAUCCGAAACAUACUUCUCCGUCGCCAACAACACUUACCAGGGCCUCUCCACUUGUCAAGCGAUGAUGGAUCAAAACCCUUAUGGGGAUAGAAAUCUGUUGGUGAAUAUGAGUCUGGAAGUUCCCCUCAGGUGUGCUUGCCCCACUUCCAAUCAGACCGCUUUGGGGUUCAAGUACUUGCUCACCUACAUGGUUACCUGGGGCGAUUCCAUUUCUUCCAUCGCCCAAUUAUUCAGCGUCGACCAACAGACCGUGUUGGAUGCAAAUAAACUGACCUCCUCCAGCAUCAUCUUCCCGUUCACUCCAAUUCUGGUUCCUUUGACUAGGGAGCCCACGAAGAUCAAUCGGGCAGUGGUACCUCCGCCUGCAUCACCUUCUCCGCAAACUCCCAUCUUCCCUGGUGGGGGAUCCAACUCUUCCAGUAACCGAAAAUGGGUAUAUGUGGGUGUUGGGUCAGGAGUUGCUAUACUUAUUGUUUUAGCCGUGUUUGCAUUCCUGUUCUGGAACCGCAAGUCCAAGUCUCAUGAGGCCAAGCCUGUCUCCACCUCAGAACCCAAGGCGUUACAAUCGGAGUCGGCUGAUUACUCCGCUGUUCCAGUCCAAGAUAGCCAAUCUGGGUCUCUCUCAUCCCUUGGAAUCAGAUAUGCGAUUGAGUCUUUGACUCUCUACAAAUUCGAGGACUUGGAAAUGGCCACCGGUUAUUUCGGUGAAAAUAGUAGAAUUAAAGGGUUGGUUUAUAAGGGAUCAUUUAAGGGUGAUGCCGCCGCCGUCAAGGUCAUGAAAGGAGAUGUCUCGAGGGAGAUCAACAUUCUAAAGAAGAUCAAUCAUUUCAACAUCAUCAGGCUCUCUGGCUUCUGCUUACACGAGGGAAACACCUUUCUAGUUUACGAGUUCGCCGAGAAUGGUGCUCUCUGCGAUUGGCUUCACUCUGACGACAGCUUGUACCGGAUUCCUACUCUUACGUGGAAGCAGAGAGUUCAGAUUGCCUACGAUGUGGCUGAUGCCCUUAAUUACCUCCACAAUUACACUAACCCCCCUUUUAUCUACAAGAACUUGAAGACCAGUAACAUUUUCCUGGAUGCCGGAUUUAGAGCCAAGAUUGGUAACUUCGGCUUGGCAAGAACGUUGGAAAAUGAAGACGAAGGCGGACUGCAACUCACAAGACAUGUUGUGGGAACUCAAGGCUAUAUGGCCCCUGAGUACGUCGAGAAUGGUCUCAUUACCCCCAAGUUAGAUGUCUUCGCAUUUGGGGUUGUGAUUUUGGAGCUCUUGUCUGGAAAGGAAGCUGCUGCUGGUGACAAGGAAAUGCUCUCAGCAUCAAUAAGCUUGGUACUGGAGGGGGACAAUGUAAGAGAGAAAUUCCUUGACUUCAUCGAUCCUUCUCUGGGAAACGAGUACCCAUUGGACGUAGCCUUCUCCCUAGCUAACCUGGCUAAAAACUGCGUCACUCGUGAUAUCAAUGCUCGUCCCUCCAUUCCUCAAGUUAUCAUGACGUUAUCCAAGAUUCUCUCAUCUUCGCUGGAUUGGGAACCUUCUCUCGAACUUCAAAGCUCAAGGUCUAUGAGCAGUGGCAGGUAAACAUUGCUGAAGAUUGUGAGGUACUUGCACCAUCCACCUUGCACAGUAGAUUGAUACAUCGCCAUGAAUA